rnacentral:rRNA from 1 species
GGGAAACCCAGUGUGUUUCGACACACUAUCAUUAACUGAAUCCAUAGGUUAAUGAGGCGAACCGGGGGAACUGAAACAUCUAAGUACCCCGAGGAAAAGAAAUCAACCGAGAUUCCCCCAGUAGCGGCGAGCGAACGGGGAGCAGCCCAGAGCCUGAAUCAGUAUGUGUGUUAGUGGAAGCGUCUGGAAAGGCGCGCGAUACAGGGUGACAGCCCCGUACACAAAAAUGCACAUGCUGUGAGCUCGAUGAGUAGGGCGGGACACGUGGUAUCCUGUCUGAAUAUGGGGGGACCAUCCUCCAAGGCUAAAUACUCCUGACUGACCGAUAGUGAACCAGUACCGUGAGGGAAAGGCGAAAAGAACCCCGGCGAGGGGAGUGAAAAAGAACCUGAAACCGUGUACGUACAAGCAGUGGGAGCACGCUUAGGCGUGUGACUGCGUACCUUUUGUAUAAUGGGUCAGCGACUUAUAUUCUGUAGCAAGGUUAACCGAAUAGGGGAGCCGAAGGGAAACCGAGUCUUAACUGGGCGUUAAGUUGCAGGGUAUAGACCCGAAACCCGGUGAUCUAGCCAUGGGCAGGUUGAAGGUUGGGUAACACUAACUGGAGGACCGAACCGACUAAUGUUGAAAAAUUAGCGGAUGACUUGUGGCUGGGGGUGAAAGGCCAAUCAAACCGGGAGAUAGCUGGUUCUCCCCGAAAGCUAUUUAGGUAGCGCCUCGUGAAUUCAUCUCCGGGGGUAGAGCACUGUUUCGGCAAGGGGGUCAUCCCGACUUACCAACCCGAUGCAAACUGCGAAUACCGGAGAAUGUUAUCACGGGAGACACACGGCGGGUGCUAACGUCCGUCGUGAAGAGGGAAACAACCCAGACCGCCAGCUAAGGUCCCAAAGUCAUGGUUAAGUGGGAAACGAUGUGGGAAGGCCCAGACAGCCAGGAUGUUGGCUUAGAAGCAGCCAUCAUUUAAAGAAAGCGUAAUAGCUCACUGGUCGAGUCGGCCUGCGCGGAAGAUGUAACGGGGCUAAACCAUGCACCGAAGCUGCGGCAGCGACGCUGAUGCGUUGUUGGGUAGGGGAGCGUUCUGUAAGCCUGCGAAGGUGUGCUGUGAGGCAUGCUGGAGGUAUCAGAAGUGCGAAUGCUGACAUAAGUAACGAUAAAGCGGGUGAAAAGCCCGCUCGCCGGAAGACCAAGGGUUCCUGUCCAACGUUAAUCGGGGCAGGGUGAGUCGACCCCUAAGGCGAGGCCGAAAGGCGUAGUCGAUGGGAAACAGGUUAAUAUUCCUGUACUUGGUGUUACUGCGAAGGGGGGACGGAGAAGGCUAUGUUGGCCGGGCGACGGUUGUCCCGGUUUAAGCGUGUAGGCUGGUUUUCCAGGCAAAUCCGGAAAAUCAAGGCUGAGGCGUGAUGACGAGGCACUACGGUGCUGAAGCAACAAAUGCCCUGCUUCCAGGAAAAGCCUCUAAGCAUCAGGUAACAUCAAAUCGUACCCCAAACCGACACAGGUGGUCAGGUAGAGAAUACCAAGGCGCUUGAGAGAACUCGGGUGAAGGAACUAGGCAAAAUGGUGCCGUAACUUCGGGAGAAGGCACGCUGAUAUGUAGGUGAAGUCCCUCGCGGAUGGAGCUGAAAUCAGUCGAAGAUACCAGCUGGCUGCAACUGUUUAUUAAAAACACAGCACUGUGCAAACACGAAAGUGGACGUAUACGGUGUGACGCCUGCCCGGUGCCGGAAGGUUAAUUGAUGGGGUUAGCGCAAGCGAAGCUCUUGAUCGAAGCCCCGGUAAACGGCGGCCGUAACUAUAACGGUCCUAAGGUAGCGAAAUUCCUUGUCGGGUAAGUUCCGACCUGCACGAAUGGCGUAAUGAUGGCCAGGCUGUCUCCACCCGAGACUCAGUGAAAUUGAACUCGCUGUGAAGAUGCAGUGUACCCGCGGCAAGACGGAAAGACCCCGUGAACCUUUACUAUAGCUUGACACUGAACAUUGAGCCUUGAUGUGUAGGAUAGGUGGGAGGCUUUGAAGUGUGGACGCCAGUCUGCAUGGAGCCGACCUUGAAAUACCACCCUUUAAUGUUUGAUGUUCUAACGUUGACCCGUAAUCCGGGUUGCGGACAGUGUCUGGUGGGUAGUUUGACUGGGGCGGUCUCCUCCUAAAGAGUAACGGAGGAGCACGAAGGUUGGCUAAUCCUGGUCGGACAUCAGGAGGUUAGUGCAAUGGCAUAAGCCAGCUUGACUGCGAGCGUGACGGCGCGAGCAGGUGCGAAAGCAGGUCAUAGUGAUCCGGUGGUUCUGAAUGGAAGGGCCAUCGCUCAACGGAUAAAAGGUACUCCGGGGAUAACAGGCUGAUACCGCCCAAGAGUUCAUAUCGACGGCGGUGUUUGGCACCUCGAUGUCGGCUCAUCACAUCCUGGGGCUGAAGUAGGUCCCAAGGGUAUGGCUGUUCGCCAUUUAAAGUGGUACGCGAGCUGGGUUUAGAACGUCGUGAGACAGUUCGGUCCCUAUCUGCCGUGGGCGCUGGAGAACUGAGGGGGGCUGCUCCUAGUACGAGAGGACCGGAGUGGACGCAUCACUGGUGUUCGG